rnacentral:sRNA from 1 species
CCCUAAACCUGAUAGUAGUGGAAAUACUUUUUAAUUUCAGCAACCUUGGAUACAAUGUCAUGCUGAGGCACGAAGCAUCUGCAACCGAUGAAACUGACUCUUCGUUCCUCAGCAUUACAGUAGUUUUAAAAAGAUUGGAACGAAUAGCAGGACUGCAA